rnacentral:tRNA from 1 species
GCGCCCAUGGCUCAAUUGGACAGAGCGUCUGGCUACGGACCAGAAGGUUGGGGGUUCGAGUCCUCCUGGGCGCAUCA